UCGUCGUGAGCGCUGGAGGGCUCUACAACGCCUACCUCCUCCUCCCGCGGGACAAGACGCAGAAUCGGAGCGAGCGCCUGGGAGGACGCCCUGCUCCGAUGGGUUGGGCGUGUCGCGAGCUUCGCCGUGUGGCCAAGUACGGCGUGCUCCAGAGUGGAUGGUCGACGCCCUCCCCACCUCGCCCGUGACUGGUUUAGCUCUGACAGAAACAGCUAUGGGACAGGUACAACAUGAAGUUGGGUUCUAGUCUUUUAGCUACAGUGCAGGGAAGCAAGCUUGGAUUCACUGAAUGAUGUGUACACACCAAGUGCACCUCGCUUUCAUAAUAGCAAGCAACCCCAUUCUGAGGUAUGUUCUCUUCGCUUGCAGCCUUUUUAAGAGUAUAAGUGGUGCUUAUCAAUGUGUUGUCUCAGAAAAGCGCUUUCUCCAGCGCUUGAUAAUUGUAGCUCUAUAUGCUUGUGUUGCAAACAGCAUAAGCAACUGGACAACCAUUUGGUUCAUAAACUCAAACCAUUGAACUUAAAAACAUCACCUUCCGUGGCUGUUGUGUGUCGUAGUUGGGUCAAAGCAAAUUGCGCAGUGGGCUUCUCCCUAGUGUGAAUUUGUUAGAAAGAAUUGAACAUAUAUACACAAACUGAAAGAAAUAUCAAAAUCUAAGCACCUGUAUGCCUCGCAAUGGAUCACAACAAAAAAACGUAGACGCUGAUUAAUCCAUCCUAAAAAUAUCUGAACUAUAUCGGAAAACAUGUAGUUGCUGAUUUACGAAACCAUAAUUUUCCAAACAGGGUCUCACAAUAUAGGAAAAAACCUUUUAGAAUUCGCUUGGAUGCUUAUAGCUGGAUUAUACACAGCAGACAGAGUUGUUCAUUAAUUCCUAUUACAAUCCUUCGUGCCAACAGUACAACCUACAACAAUACAUCAUAUAACUAUGUCUGAAACUUGACACCAUACAAUGUGGAUUAAGGAAUUAAACAGACACAAAUACAUACAUACUUUACUCUUUAACCGCGUUUAGAAGUACUCAAUCCAAUGCUGGGUUAAAAAUGCUUCCUAAUCCACUACCUCAAUCCAGUGUAGGAUUAAAAUGAAAUCUCAAACAUAAUCCCCUAAACAACAAAAUACACAUGUGAAUUAUAUUCUCAUGUGAUAGUUAAGUCCAUCUAAUUGAACAAACAAAACCAUAGAGGUACUCGGAUAUAGUGAUCAAUGCAGUUGAGGUGCCCAUACAUGCACACAUACUCUCGAUUGUAGAAAGUCUGAUGAAUUGCUACAUAAAUAGGCAAAAUGAUUUGUCGUUCAUUGUCAUAGAGAUUUCGUAGUCCUUUCAUUCAAAUGGCCUAAAAGUAACAUAAAAAUGUGGUAAUCCAUUGGCACAAAUGAACAGCAUACAGUACUCUCAAGUGUGCAAUACAAUACCAAUUGGCAGGCCAACAUUCAGAGAAGCAUAUACUGAACUUAGGUUGUCGAAAUUCAGAGAAGCAUGUACUGGAUUUAGCAAGUAGAAAUUCAGAGAAGCAUGAGUGAAGGACGCCGAGUGUACCUUUUCCUGGAUGUUGUCUACCUUUUCUGCUCAGGGUCUUGUUGAUCCAGAACUUGUUGACUAUCUUACUUCCAUGCUACAAAAGAUAGGCAUCUCCUAAAUUAUGUUGCUAAUUCUUUCGUUUACCCAAGUUGGGUGUCAGUCCUCCCAGUUAUGUGCUUACUUAUGUAACAGAACAGAUUAGAGAAAUGUUUAGUGCCAUGCAUUCAGUUUCAUGGAAAGCACAUAAACUCUAUAUUAUAUAUAGGCCAUUAUAUUUAAUUAUUUAUUUUUACUCGGUAUAUUAAGAAAUAGGAGCACGAUUGUAGUCAUGGUAUUUUUGUUACUCUUUGUAUUUCUGAAUUUUGACCCAAAUCUGCCAUGAGAAUCUGCCCAUGAACUUUGACAGAUGUCCAUCAUUUUGGUCAUUAUUAAUUUUGUUGUCGCAAGUGCAGAUUCUUCUGAUUAUGACACUCUUAAUAAUUGAAGGGGAGAGUCGGUGUUCAUGAAACCAGAUUGAUUUGCUUGGUACAGAGUAUGAGCAUUGUUUCCCGUGAGCUAGCUUCCUAUGCCCAGCUGGUGGCUUAAUGUUAAGGGGAAGAAAAAUCUGAUCAAAGUUUGUACCUGAUCAAAGUUCGUUGGCUUGGUGAUCAAAGUGUGAAUACAUAGACCACAACAUGUCCCUAGUGAGCCUCUAGUUGACUAGCUCGUUGAUCAACAGAUAGUCAUGGUUUCCUGACUAUGGGCAUUGGAUGUCAUUGGUAACGGGAUCACAUCAUUAGGAGAAUGAUGUGAUGGA